GGUGAAUGGUGUGCACAGUGUCAGUCUGUGUUAUGCUUUGUUGUUGGACUGUGUUUUGCAGCCUUAGCAGCAGGGCUCACUCCAAACCUGCAGCCAUAGAACAACUGGAGAUCAUAGUACUGGUCCUUGACGUCGAUACUGACAACCCACCAUUGGCCAGCCUCCAAACUCUCCAACACAC
ensembl:snoRNA